UUCAGUGUUCAGGAGAUUGUUUUCAUCAUGGUUUUUAUUAGUAUUUGCUUUUUACCUAAGCGGCGAAACGAAACGUCUUGCGAUGUCAAUGACUCGCAGGCUGUCAGUUGAGCUGUCAAAUCACUUUGGAAUUUUGGUCGAUCUUGCGCAACCGCAAUUUUAUUAUUUUCGGGGAUGUAAUCCCCUGUGUUUUAAAUCGUGUGUUGCAGAAUGCAUCCACGAUAAUUCCAUAAUAUAAUUUAAAAUAAUCACACAUGAGAAAUUCCCUAAAUCCUGUUCGGUUGAGGGUAUUGGGAUGCUGAAGACUGUGAGUGAAGCUCAGAUUAGCGAACGGUCUUCGUAAGUAUUUCUUUCCCAUUGCGGUUUUUUUCAUAACCUAAUGCCACGUUCCACAUGUGAUCCUGACACUCGUGUUUUUCGUUUCAGAUGCUGGGUUUUCAAAUUUCGUAUUUUAAGAUUUCAUAGAUUUCAUAUUUUACACUAUUUUUAUAGACAUUUUAGAUAUUUCAAUAUUUCAUAUUGAUUUCUCAUCAUUUGGUAUAAAUUAUUUCUCCUUUCUAAACUGCUGAUCUCUUCGCAUUUCCUCCUUGUCAUCAAACCUCUGUCUCUGCAAGAGUUUGAACGCUUACCUGUCGAAGAGAUGCAAGAGCUUCAUCUGGCACUGCGCGCUUGAGGCCGUGGAGGACGCUGCUUG